rnacentral:rRNA from 1 species
AUUGAACGCUGGCAGCAUGCUUUACACAUGCAAGUCGAACGAGUCGCGAACGAGUGAGUAACGAAUCGGAACGUACCGUGUAAUGGGGGCUCACUGUCCGAAAGGACAGCUAAUACCGCAUAGCAUUCGAGCGGCCGAUGUCUGAUUAGCUGGGUGGCGGGGUAAAGGCCCAACAAGGCGACGAUCAGUAGCGGGUCUGAGAGGAUGACCAGCCACACUGGGACGGAGACACGGCCAAGACUCCUACGGGAGACAGCAUUGGGGAAUAUUGGGCAAGGGGUGCAAGCCUGAUCGCGCCAUACCGAGUGUCUGAAGAAGGCAUUCGGGUUGUAAAGUACUUUUGUCAGGGAAGCGGUACCUGAAGAAUAAGCACCGGCUAACUACGUGCCAGCCGCCGCGGUAAUUC